GACGAACGGCUGGCGGCGUGCUUAACACAUGCAAGUCGAACGGAGUUACGUAUGAAGUAUUUCGGUACGGACUACAUAACUUAGUGGCGAACGGGUGAGUAACACGUGGGCAACCUGCCCUUAACCGGGGGAUAACAUUGUGAAAACAGUGCUAAUACCGCAUAACAGAGUAUCGGGCAUCCGAUAUUUUUAAAAGGAGCAAUCCGGUUUAGGAUGGGCCCGCGUCCAAUUAGCUAGUUGGUGAGGUAACGGCUCACCAAGGCUACGAUUGGUAGCCGAACUGAGAGGUUGAUCGGCCACAUUGGGACUGAGACACGGCCCAGACUCCUACGGGAGGCAGCAGUGGGGAAUAUUGGGCAAUGGGCGAAAGCCUGACCCAGCGACGCCGCGUGAAGGAUGAAGGUCUUCGGAUUGUAAACUUCUUUGAUCAGGGAAGAAAGAAAUGACGGUACCUGAAGAACAAGCCACGGCUAACUACGUG
rnacentral:rRNA from 1 species